CCUUUCUUCAUUCAUUAUCUCAAGCUUCCCACUAACUUUUGAAGUCUUGGUUAUUAGCUUUGGUUUCCCAUGUCACUUAAUCUUUGUUUUUAAUUAUAAUUAAAUAAUACGAAAUAAUCUUUGUACUAAAUAAUCAUUUUCCCGAUUCUUUCUAUACCAAUAACAAUCCACACAAUACAAGAUUUUUUUUUUUUUUUUUGAGGAACACAAUACAAGAAUCUUAUGAGCAAAUAAUCCAAACAACAUUCAACCCCUUUAUAUUUCAAGUAGCUUCCUGAUCCUUUCUAUACCAAUAACCUAAUUCAAAUGAAUAAAUUUUACCUUGAGAAAGUGAAGUAGCAGAGGUGAAGUGCGAACCACGGCGAAACGCAAUGACCAAAAUAAAUUGCCCAAAACUGAAAAAGAAAUUACACAGAUUCAAUUAACAAAAUGAUGGUUAAUAUAAAGAAAUAAAAAUUAGAACUUUGAAGAUUCACAACUCAGAUUCAACACAAUACAGAAAUUCAAUGUAUAACACAAGAAUGAAUAAGAAAAAAGGACAACAGAAUCACACGAGCUUGAAGAAGAAUUGAGAAGACUCUAAGGAACCACAUGCAGAAGCAGGUUGGGUCGUUUCUUCCAAAAACACCCUCACGAAGUAAUGGCGUUGUGGCUGACAAAGAAGAAAGUUUCGUGAGAGUAGAACAAACCAAAGUUGUCUCAGAUUAACCAAACAGAGUCGAAGAACGAAGCAAGCUGUCUUAGGUUCAUGUUGAGGGUGACAUUGAAAUUGGGGAUUUUAGGGUGAGAUUCAUGUUGACGGUUGAAAUUGAGGGUGAGAUUGAAAUUGGGGGUGAGAUUGGGAGGGUUAGGUUUCAGAUAGAGAGUGAGAUUGAAAUGGAGGUUUUAGGGUUUUGAAAAGUGGGAACCGUGGGAAUGAAAUUGAGAAAGCGGGAGAGAUGAAAAUAUUUUGGGUGAAAAGCGCAAUUGAC
rnacentral:lncRNA from 1 species